ACUUGGCUGGCUCAGUCAGUGAGCAUGUGACUCUUGAUCUCAGGGUUGUGAGUUCAAGUCCCACGUUGGAUG
rnacentral:tRNA from 1 species